rnacentral:rRNA from 1 species
GACGAACGCUGGCGGCGUGCUUAACACAUGCAAGUCGAACGGAAAGGCCCUGCUUUUGUGGGGUGCUCGAGUGGCGAACGUGUGUGUAACACGUGAGUAACCUGCCCUUGACUUUGGGAUAACUUCAGGAAACUGGGGCUAAUACCGGAUAGGAGCUCCUGCUGCAUGGUGGGGGUUGGAAAGUUUCGGCGGUUGGGGAUGGGCUCGCGGCUUGUCAGCUUGUUGGUGGGGUAGUGGCUUACCAAGGCUUUGACGGGUAGCCGGCCUGAGAGGGUGACCGGCCACAUGGGGACUGAGAUACGGCCCAGCCUCCUACGGGAGGCAGCGGUGGGGAAUAUUGCACAAUGGGCGGAAGCCUGAUGCAGCAACGCCGCGUGCGGGAUGACGGCCUGCGGGUUGUAAACCGCUUUCGCCUGUGACGAAGCGUGAGUGACGGUAAUGGGUAAAGAAGCACCGGCUAACUACGUG